UGGGGAAUUUUGGACAAUGGGCGAAAGCCUGAUCCAGCAAUGCCGCGUGUGUGAAGAAGGCCUUCGGGUUGUAAAGCACUUUUGUCCGGAAAGAAAUCCUUGGCUCUAAUACAGUCGGGGGAUGACGGUACCGGAAGAAUAAGCACCGGCUAACUACGUGCCAGCAGCCGCGGUAAUACGUAGGGUGCAAGCGUUAAUCGGAAUUACUGGGCGUAAAGCGUGCGCAGGCGGUUUGCUAAGACCGAUGUGAAAUCCCCGGGCUCAACCUGGGAACUGCAUUGGUGACUGGCAGGCUAGAGUAUGGCAGAGGGGGGUAGAAUUCCACGUGUAGCAGUGAAAUGCGUAGAGAUGUGGAGGAAUACCGAUGGCGAAGGCAGCCCCCUGGGGCCAAUACUGACGCUCAUGCACGAAAGCGUGGGGAGCAAACAGGAUUAGAUACCCUGGUAGUCCACGCCCUAAACGAUGUCAACUAGUUGUUGGGGAUUCAUUUCCUUAGUAACGUAGCUAACGCGUGAAGUUGACCGCCUGGGGAGUACGGUCGCAAGAUUAAAACUUAAA
rnacentral:rRNA from 1 species